AAAGCUUUAGUUAAAUAAUAAUAAUAAUUUGUCAGAUUAUAGUAACCGUAGGUAAGCUUUU
rnacentral:tRNA from 1 species